UAUUAGAUUGGUGCAAAAGUAAUUGUGGUUUUUGCAAUUGAAAGUAAAGUAGUUUCAUUAGGUUUUGCACCAACCCGAUAUUUUU
rnacentral:miRNA from 1 species